AUUUGUUUUCAUACGAAAAAUCGAUUAUAUAGUUCUUCUUAAAACAUUAAAAAAUUUAGUAAUGGAGAAAGAAAAUUAAUUAAUUUAUCAUUAGUGAAAAGUACUGUAAAGGAAAAAUAAAACCAUAAAAAUAGCAGCUAUUAAAGCGUACUUUUUGCAUCACGGCUUAGCAAGAGUUAAUUGAAGAUCUCAAUUUCUCGAAAGUUGGUGAGCUAUCUUUCUUCUGGGAUUUUAUAGGCCCUAAAGUAGAAUUAAUUAGCUAAAAAUGUGGCAUAAUUUUAGUAAAAGAAAAAGAUAGAAAUGAGAUGUUAUCCGCACCAGCGAUAGCUAGUUUCUUCAGAAGUACAUAGCAGUGUGCUGGUAAACUUUUAAGUUUGGAAAGUUCUAAUUCCUAACUGAAUUUUAUCUAAAAGACUUUUUAGGAUAAGCUAGAAAGUUAAAAGAGAAACUGCAUUGACUAAGAAUAAAGUGAUGUAAGCUUGAAAUUAGCUACCAUUACGAGUUUGUUAUAAAACAACUUAACUAUCUUAGAAGAUUUUUAUGCUUACGCGUUUCUUUGAGUAUGAAGACAUAGGGAGGAAUUGAUUUCCCUAAAGCCUAUGCUAAGAUGAGUAUUAAAUUAUCGGAAUAGUUAAGAAGAGUAUUUUUAUCUUCUUAUUUAUUAAAGUUUUUUAUACUAAAUAGGGAAAAGGAACUCGGCAAGAUUGGCUGUUUCGCCUGUUUAUCAAAAACAUCGCUCUUUGUUAUCUAAAAAAUAAAGAGUCGGACCUGCCCAGUGAAAAUUUUAACGGCCGCGGUACUCUGACCGUGCAAAGGUAGCAUAAUCAUUUGCCUUAUAAUUAAAGGCUUGUAUGAAUGGUUUGACGAAAUCAGCACUGUCUCUUCUCUAUUUUAUAGAAUUUGACCUGGGGGUGAAGAGGCCCUUAUUGAACUGAAGGACAAGAAGACCCUGUCGAGCUUUAAAAAUAACUAGAAAAUCAGUAUAAAAACUAAAUAAAUUACUAGGUAUUUUUUUGGUUGGGGCGACUAAGGAACAAAAAAAGCUUCCUCUAUUUCCGUAAACUCCGCAAGUUAAAGAUCCAGCUAUGCUGAUCAAAGGAAUUAGUUACCGCAGGGAUAACAGCAUAAUCUCCUUUGAGAGACCGAAUCGAAAAGGGGGGUUGUGACCUCGAUGUUGGACUAGGGUAUCCUGAAGGUGCAGAAGCCUUUAAGGGUUGGUCUGUUCGACCAUUAAAAUCCUACGUGAUCUGAGUUC
rnacentral:rRNA from 1 species